UCAAUCUAAUACUAGAGGAGUUCGAGUAUUCCCACUGUUGAUGGGAGAAGGAGAUAUAGGGUCUCAGAUUGAA
rnacentral:tRNA from 1 species